AAAGUCGUAACAAGGUUUCCGUAGGUGAACCUGCGGAAGGAUCAUUAACGAGUUAGGGUCUUCUAGGCCCGACCUCCCAACCCUUUGUUUACCGAACCUCUGUUGCUUCGGCGGACCCGUCUCACGACCGCCGGAGGACCGCCGAAAGGCGUCCUCUGGCCAGCGUCCGCCGAUAGCCAACCACUUAAACUUCUGAAUGAAUCGUGUCUUAUGUCUGAGUCUAUGAUUAAAUAAAAAGCAAAACUUUCAACAACGGAUCUCUUGGUUCUG
rnacentral:misc_RNA from 1 species